UACGUAGGGUGCGAGCGUUAAUCGGAAUUACUGGGCGUAAAGCGUGCGCAGGCGGUUCGUUAAGACAGAUGUGAAAUCCCCGGGCUUAACCUGGGAACUGCAUUUGUGACUGGCGAGCUAGAGUAUGGCAGAGGGGGGUAGAAUUCCACGUGUAGCAGUGAAAUGCGUAGAGAUGUGGAGGAAUACCGAUGGCGAAGGCAGCCCCCUGGGCCAAUACUGACGCUCAUGCACGAAAGGCGUGGGGAGCA
rnacentral:rRNA from 1 species